rnacentral:tRNA from 3 species
GGUCCCAUCGUCUAGUGGCCUAGGACGUCGCCUUUUCAUGGCGAAGAUCGCGGGUUCGACUCCCGCUGGGACCG